ACUCCUACGGGAGGCAGCAGUGGGGAAUAUUGCACAAUGGGCGCAAGCCUGAUGCAGCCAUGCCGCGUGUGUGAAGAAGGCCUUCGGGUUGUAAAGCACUUUCAGUCGUGAGGAAGGUAGUGUAGUUAAUAGCUGCAUUAUUUGACGUUAGCGACAGAAGAAGCACCGGCUAACUCCGUGCCAGCAGCCGCGGUAAUACGGAGGGUGCGAGCGUUAAUCGGAAUUACUGGGCGUAAAGCGCAUGCAGGUGGUUUGUUAAGUCAGAUGUGAAAGCCCGGGGCUCAACCUCGGAAUUGCAUUUGAAACUGGCAGACUAGAGUACUGUAGAGGGGGGUAGAAUUUCAGGUGUAGCGGUGAAAUGCGUAGAGAUCUGAAGGAAUACCGGUGGCGAAGGCGGCCCCCUGGACAGAUACUGACACUCAGAUGCGAAAGCGUGGGGAGCAAACAGGAUU
rnacentral:rRNA from 1 species